AGCGAACGCUGGCGGCAGGCCUAACACAUGCAAGUCGAACGAACCUUUCGGGGUUAGUGGCGGACGGGUGAGUAACACGUGGGAACGUGCCUUUAGGUUCGGAAUAACUCAGGGAAACUUGUGCUAAUACCGAAUGUGCCCUUCGGGGGAAAGAUUUAUCGCCUUUAGAGCGGCCCGCGUCUGAUUAGCUAGUUGGUUGAGGUAAUGGCUCACCAAGGCGACGAUCAGUAGCUGGUCUGAGAGGAUGAUCAGCCACAUUGGGACUGAGACACGGCCCAAACUCCUACGGGAGGCAGCAGUGGGGAAUCUUGCGCAAUGGGCGAAAGCAUGACGCAGCCAUGCCGCGUGAAUGAUGAAGGUCUUAGGAUUGUAAAAUUCUUUCACCGGGGACGUUAAUGACGGUACCCGGAGAAGAAGCCCCGGCUAACUUCGUG
rnacentral:rRNA from 1 species